rnacentral:rRNA from 1 species
GACGGAGGGUGCAAGCGUUGCUCGGAAUCACUGGGCGUAAAGGGUGCGUAGGCGGUCUCGCAAGUCUGGCGUGAAAGCCCAAGGCUCAGCCUUGGAAGUGCGCUCGAAACGGCGAGGCUGGAGUGCCGGAGGGGAGAGUGGAAUUCCCGGUGUAGCGGUGAAAUGCGCAGAUAUCGGGAGGAACACCAAUGGCGAAGGCAGCUCGCUGGGACGUUACUGACGCUGAGACGCGAAAGCGUGGGGAGCAAACAGG